CAGCACCUCAAGUGGUCAGGAUGAUUAUUGGGCCUAAAGCAUCCGUAGCCGGCGCUGUAAGUUUUCGGUUAAAUCUGUACGCUCAGCGUACAGGCUGCCGGGAAUACUGCAGCGCUAGGGAGUGGGAGAGGUAGACGGUACUCGGUAGGAAGGGGUAAAAUCCUUUGAUCUAUUGAUGACCACCUGUGGCGAAGGCGGUCUACCAGAACACGUCCGACGGUGAGGGAUGAAAGCUGGGGGAGCAAACCGGAUUAGAUACCCGCGUAGUCC
rnacentral:rRNA from 1 species